GAUGAACGCUGGCGGCGUGCCUAAUACAUGCAAGUCGAGCGAACAGACCAGGUGCUUGCUCUUCUGAAGUUAGCGGCGGACGGGUGAGUAACACGUGGAUAACCUACCUAUAAGACUGGGAUAACUUCGGGAAACCGGAGCUAAUACCGGAUAACAUGUUGAACCGCAUGGUUCAACAGUGAAAGACGGUCUUGCUGUCACUUAUAGAUGGAUCCGCGCCGCAUUAGCUAGUUGGUGAGGUAACGGCUUACCAAGGCAACGAUGUCUAGCCGACCUGAGAGGGUGAUCGGCCACACUGGAACUGAGACACGGUCCAGACUCCUACGGGAGGCAGCAGUAGGGAAUCUUCCGCAAUGGGCGCAAGCCUGACGGAGCAACGCCGCGUGAGUGAAGAAGGUCUUCGGAUCGUAAAACUCUGUUAUUAGGGAAGAACAAGUGUGAAAGUAACUGUGAACGUCUUGACGGUACCUAAUCAGAAAGCCACGGCUAACUACGUG
rnacentral:rRNA from 1 species